GUGGUUUAAAGUCGAGAGAUAUUCAUGUUCCUCAGCCAUGACCCGAGGCUACGGGCUAAUGUGUGAAUGAGGAGUUUCUGUCUCGGCCCGUCGCCUCAUUUCCUCCAACAUGUCCACGAGAGAGAUGGAAGACCUGCCACUUCCACACAACUGGAUGUGCUACACCACACCUGAAGGACACAAGUACUACGUGAACAUCUUCACCAAUGAGACCACAUGGACACGACCUCCUGCCUCCGCCGGCUCUCUGGAGAGUGGGAAGAGUCGUGGGAGCCCAGAGCUCUCCAGCGGGUCAGGUGAGCUCCUUGGGUCACGUGGCCUGGCCUACGUGUGGUCAGAUGUUUCCAGCUGAGACCGCAUGGCCUUUAGUUUAGGUGGAUAGUAGCCUAGCGGGUAACACACUCGCCUAUGAACCAGAAGACCCAGAUUCAAACCCCGCUUACUACCAUCGUGUCCCUGACACUUAACCCUGAGUGUCUCCAGG
ensembl:lncRNA growth arrest-specific protein 7-like